AACGUAGGUGGCGAGCGUUAUCCGGAUUCAUUGGGCGUAAAGAGCUUGUAGGUGGCGGCGUAAGUUGGACGUGAAAUCGCCCGGCUCAACCGGGCGGGGUCGUUCAAUACUGCGCGGCUGGAGGAGGUCAGAGGGAAGUGGAAUUCCUGGUGUAGCAGUGAAAUGCGUAGAUAUCUGGAGGAACACCGGUGGCGAAGGCGGCAUCCUGGACCGGCAUUGACGCUGAGGCGCGAAAGCCAGGGGAGCAAACGGG
rnacentral:rRNA from 1 species